UUUUGGAAAACAGCAUUUUUGGGUAUGUAGAAGAAAGAUGGCGGAGACUUGUCAUUAAAUUCAUUCACCAGGGUAAUUACUACUCUUUCUUGUCCCUUGGCUAUAUCAACAACGUCAUGGAGUGAACUUAUCCUUUCAGGUGUCAAUUGACGCUCCUGGCUAACCACAACAUGCUGGAAGUUUGUGUCUUCAAGAUCAUUCUCUUUAUUUUCUUCAUCUGUUACACAGAAAUUUUCACUGGCCUUCUUGUUAAGCUGCAUGCCGUCAUCCACACCAUCACAAGAUGGAGGAAGUUUUGGUUCUUGGAGCAGAGCUACCUCCUCAUCAAACUGAGAACCGACUGAUCCAUUCAAAGAAUGAAAGCGCGUGCCUUUAGCACCUAAAGCAUCUGUUAAAAAGAUUUUUUGAAUGAAUCAAUAAUGAGUUUCACAUUUAUGGUUUCUGGAGUUAAGAGGAUUCAGUUCAAAAUUUAUUUCAUAAGUUUCAUCAAGGAAAAGUUCAUAUCAUAAGUUUUGUAUGAUCUGAGACAUUUAUCCUCCAAAAUUUUAGUGCUGCAUCAAGACUAGGCAUAUGGAAGUCAGGCCUUCCAAAAGUCAAGUUGCAGAUCAUAAAUUUUCACCUCUCCAAAAGGUGAGGAAGCAAUCUCAAGGUUUAAACAAGAUUCACCUGAAACCAUUGCCGGGUUGCCAUUGUUUCUCGUUUCAUUUGAAAUGGGAACCCCAUCAGCUGUGCCUUUUUCACCCAUAAACUGUAACAGAUCAGGACCAUUAUUUUCUCUGAUCGAACCAUUUCCACUAGAUGACUCUCCUUUACUUGAUGGAUCUGAAAAUGAUGAACUCACAAAAACUCAGCUAUAUUUCCUAUGAAUAAAUAAAGGCAAAUGCAGAAGGUAAACCUUAAAUUGAAUAUGUCAGACAUAUGCCAAAUAUGUUGGUAGUUCAAAUAAGUCACAAUCUGGGACCUCAAUUGAAUAACCCACAAAUGGGGCAGCAAAUACUUCUCUCAACAGUCAACAUCCAAUACAUGAAAAUCAAUCAAUUACAUUAGAAAGUCAUAACAAUCAAGUACAUUAGAAAGACAUAAUCAAUAUGCUUCCAUUUUGACAAAUAUUUCAAAGUAAAUCACCUCAUCCUAUUGAACGAGGUCAAAAAUACCAGAGGUCUUGAACUUUCAAAAAAAACCUAAAAACUUUACAGAAACCAGCAAACACCAGGACCAGGUAUUUCCAGAAGCCAAAUGGGCAGAUGAUUCCAACGAUUCAAGUGAAGUGGAGGACCAAUUAUGUGGACAAAAACUAGAUGGGUACCAAUAAAGAAUAGAUAAGCAGAAGCAAAGCUCACAUAAACUUACAAAAGUAACUUUUGUCAAAAUGAUAGUAACUUUCAGUCAGGAUGGAUAACAUAUACCUGGCUGGGUGACUGCAGAAGGAACCUCAAGCUUCGACACAUCAUAGGUGACAGGCUCUUCUUUAACUAAAACAUGACCGGUAGUGGUCUUCUGUUUGGGUAACCCGGCAAUGCUGGGCUGAAGGUUUGGCUCUUUAUGGCAUCCAGCAAGAGAUGACCUCUUCUCCCCAGAAGGAAUUUGUGGUGAGAGAGUUCCCUUUCCUCUGUCUCUCAGGCGCAUUGGAUGAGAAACUGAAUUGGAUUCAGUUCUCAAACUGGUCUUUUGCUGACUUUUAUUGACAGCACUAGGCUGAGAGGGAUCGCUCCUCUCCUGUGACUCAGCCCUCAAUUUUUUAGUAUUGGGCUGAGGUGAAUCUGCUUUGUCUUGUGCAAUUCAAACCAGCCAUUCAAAAGCCAACAAAAAAAUGCAGAAGACUAGGCAUAAGAAACAAUCUACACAAAGUGGUUCAAGUGUGCUCCAACAGAACAAUCGGAAACAGAAUUGUGUACAUGCUGGCAGAGGAAAAUUACAUUCCAAAUCCUUUACUUCCAACUUACAGAAUGGGAAAGCACUCAGUGGAGAUUCCUCUUCAGUAAGGCAUAGGUUAAUUUAAGAAGGGGGAAAUGUAGAGGAUUUGGAGAAAAUUGAAGCACAAGAAUAAAAGCAAUUUCCUUUCGAGACCCUUGUUGCAGCAACCCAAAAAUUUAAUUAUACUCGAAAGCUUAGUGAAGGAGGCAUUGGUCUUGUUUAUAAGGUAAAAUUUAACUUGUGGGCAUUUGAAUUUUUCCCAAUAAAAGAAAAAAGAAGGAUAGAAGUUUUCCCCAUCUCUAAAAGGGUUCUACUUGAAGGAAUCUUUUAGCUACUACGGUGCUACUGUUGGGAACAUUGAUCCAUCAACACUUGGUGCAUUUUCCUUCGGUCAGCUUGUCAUAGAAGGAUGUUAGCAGAAUCAGAAGAACUAGAAGCUCGGAACUCUACUUUGGGAAAUGGUCCCGCCAAUGCUAUACUGGGCACUAUAGAAGCUACAAAGACUGAGAAAGGGCCCUUACCCUCCCUAACCUUAUUAUAGACUUCCGAAAAAUCCGAAUAUAUGAGGAUUCCCUCACCUUAUAAGUUCAACAAAUCAUCGAAAUGCUCUCUCUGAAGAUUCAACAAGCUAUUAGCUAUGCAAGGGUUUCUUAGAGUAGAUAGCUCUAUCUAUCAUAGUGAAAUAGAUUGAAAGAAAUCUUCCUUUUUCCCCCCUUGGCUUCAUUACUCUGCUUGUUGCCAGCACUAUUCACUAUUAUUAAGAAAGAGCAGAAGUGGUCUUCUUUUACAGCAUAUUUAAACUUAAACGAGGUGACAGUGAAUCAUGCCUAUAAGUGAAAUACUUACUACUUGGACGCUUUACGCUGCGGCAGAACCGGCUGCCACAUUGACAGCGAAAUGCCUUAACGGGAUGAUCGUGGUCAUCAAAAUCAAUACCAUAAUCCUGCGAGGAUAACAUUGAGACGUUUUAACAAAGAGCAUAUUCAGAUACAUAAAUUUAUGCUAUGUGUAGCCAUCAAAUUGUUAUUUAAUUUUAAGAGCACGUGAUUGAACAUACACAUAGAUAAAAGAGAGUGAACAAAGCAGUUAACUGCACAUAUAGUACACAUUUGAUUUUAUUACACAUAGUAACAAUCAUAGACAUAAAAAUGGCGAACAAAAGGGCAGAAGUGAGAACAUUUACUUAGAAUUCAAAAUCUUAUGUUGCUGAAUUUUCAGACAUAUGAUAACCCUUUAAGUUAGAGAUUAGUCUAUACUCUAGGAAUUUUCCUACUGCAUUUAUUCCAGCAGGAAUAUUGUUCUUAUGUUAAACAAGCAGCCCUAGACACAGAAUAGCCUAUUUUGUGAAGGUCUCUUAGUUUUGGCCUGAUGCAGGUCAACCAAUUUUUUGUACUUCUUUACUUACCUAUCAAUACACAUUUAAAAUAUCACAUGUACCGUGGGUCACCCUUGCCAACAGUGGUUAUGGUCAUGGCCCAAGACCUUCCUUAUUUUAUUGAGUGAGAGGAAGGGGACAGUUGAGUGGCCAGUUCACUAGCUAGUUCAGUCGAGUUAUAAUGACUCGUACAGAUGAAAUCAAACUCAGAUGUGGAACAUUGAAUUCAUCAUCAACCCUUUUUCAUUUAUAUAGCCCGUGCCUACGUUAUAAUGCUCCUAUUUCCUUUGGAAUUGUACAAAUUAUGUCCUCCUACGAGAAAUAAUUAUUCACUCCCCAAAAAUGCCCUGAAGUACAUAAACAAGGAUACUUGUUCCUUAGAUGUGAGGGUAAAAGUGAAAAGUUACAUCAACCAUCCACUUUUAUCAACUAUUUUAUAAAACUCUGUGCCAUUUCAAAUCACUUCAUUGAGUUAUGGAUGAAGGAUUAAUAUUUAAUAUGGUGUGGCUUCAGCAAAGGUAAACAAUAAAAGGUGGGAGCCAAUGAACAAUCUAACACGUUCAAAACUCAUUUCAAAAAACUAUUACAUGCACAAUUCAAUUUAUUAAGACAAACAGUCGUGCAACCAAGAUGUAACCAGAUACCACCACAUAGAAUCUAACUACAAUGUCCAGACAAGAAAAUUUAAGGAUGCAGCCAUAUCAAACCAUACGCUAAACUGCAGCUACCAUCCCCACGUGUAUGGUCUUUCGCACUUUUAACCUCAUCUUUUGUUCUUGGUAUCAAGCUCCUGGAUCUUUUAGCCUCAUUUUCUCAGUUUUCUAAAGUCCACCCAAUGGAAACAAAUUCUCUUGCUUAGAGGCCUAUAUUCGUACAAAUUAGGUAGGAAAAAGAAUUGGCAAAAGAUCAACUUUAGCAUAAUCCAAAUUCCAAUGUGGAAGCUAUAUUGUGAUUAUUUAAUAAUUAGAGGGUGGGUGUUGACAGAUUCUAUGUUCAGAAAGGGAAGUCUUGGUUUUAAUUCUUAGCAAGUCUGUAGUUAUUUUGCAUGAGAUAGCACAAAAUCAGCAGCAGCAGAUUAGUAAGAGGUUACCCUUCCUGGGUGUAGGUGUACGAGUUAUUCAAAAUAAGAUAAAGGAAAAAAAAAAAUUAAUGAAUGCAAGCAUAUAACUUAACAAAACAACAAACUAAGCCUUAUUCUUAUAAAAUUUAGGAUCAGCUACACAUGCUUUUUCACUACUCCUUGCAGUCCAUCUCCACAUCCAUGGGAAGAUCUAAGGCAAUCAGAAUGCUUUUAACUCCGGUAUACCAGGUAAAUUUUUGUCUAACUCUCCCUUUCUAAAAUAUUCUAUUAGGAUCUCAUCACUCUUGUGAAAGGGAGUUUCUUUAGGUGACAUCCUCCAACCACCUAACUCAUCCUACUCUCAAUUUAUCCUCAAUGGGUGCCUUCAUCUGUUCCCAAAAAACCAACUAAAAUAUUACUAGUAGGAUAGAUGGUUUCCAACUAGCAAUGAAGAGGUUGAAAUUUGCUUAAGCUUACACUGCAUUUUCAUUCAAACGGAUUUAUGACAUUUUCGAGACACUAAGACUCCUUUAUCAAUGACAUAGUGCUCCCUCAAAAUGAAACCAAUUUCAGUAAAAUAUGAUCUAGAUGAAAAACGCCCACCAAUAUUAUUGCCACAUUUUCACAGUUCCAAAUCGACCAUAUUCUAGCUCCUCGAAAUCAUAAAGCAAGUGAUUUUCCCAUUAAUUGUUCACAAUAGUCGAAUAUACAUUACUAAGAACAGUAGACAUCUAUACCUCCCUAGAACAACAAAAAGCACGUUUAUACAUAACGUAUUUCAAUGAAAUAAAUCCUACUUACCCAAGUGAGUUCUUCCAUAGCUUUUACCUUUCUUGUAGUGAAGAAGGCAAGCUGCAUUAAGAGAUGCAAAAUUCAAUAAAACUGUGGACACAAAUGAUUAACAGCAGUCGCCAUGGAAAACGGAAAAGGUUAACCAUUAUGGAUAGGAUUUCAUACAUGGUAAUAGUGGUGAUCAGGUGUCUCCACUUCCACAGGUAUCUCCACCAUGUUUGAAUCGAAACACCUAGCAGGAUAUAAAAAUGGCUAUUAAGAAAUCUGAAAACGAAAUCAACCAAAGGCUCUGAGAAAGAGAAAUCUCUUCUAUAAAAUUUAAUGCAUUCUACAUUCUGGAGGCAGACGGGAUUGGAGACAAAAGAAUUUGUCUUUGACAAGGAUGUUGACAUAUUUAAGCAAACGCAAUUUUAUGGUUAUAUGUAUGUGCUUCUGCGCACCUGUGGAGGGAGAGAGGGACUCAAUUACAAAAAUGAAAGAGUUCUAGGAAGUCAGCAUUAUAGCCAGGGUUGAAUAGGAUAAUCUAAUAAAUGAAAUAAAAAUGUUUAACCUAAACCUUACCUUCUUCAGUUUCCCCAUCUUAUCUGAACAUUAUCAUAAACAAUGUGAUAAACAGACAGCCUUUCAUUUGUAUUGAUUGUCAAGACCUUAAACAAGGCUCUACUAAGCUCUUCAAUGGAGCAACUUUUGACAACACGAAAGAUUCAUGUUAUGAUCCUUUGCCUUGGUUUGCUCUCUCUCAUUUUUUGAAUAAGCUAGAAACAUAUUACUAACUCGCUAUCACACUAGAGAUUAAGACCAAGAGACAUGGUGACUGAACAGUGAACUUCACGAAAAAGAACAAUAAUUCACAAAAUGAAUGCGUUCUCAAUCAACUGAACUUACCUAUGGUUGAUAAACCUUGCUACGUUACCAUAAUAUGUAGCAUCUAAACAAAGAGCAUCUUCAUCCUUUAAAACAACUUCCGAACACCAAUCAGCAUCAAGGAGCACAGGAUAUGAAUGUUCUUCCCCUUUGGAGCUCCGUACACGAUCAUAUAGCUCCGCAUUUGUUAAAACUUCUCCAACAUAUUCGCAGACAAAGGCACCUUUUGGCAGAUCCUCCAAGGUACGUAAACCCCACCCUUUUCCACCAGGAGUCAUAAACACCUGAAGAAAAAAUUAUAUAAGGAAAAGUUAGUGCAAUCAUGGAAAAACUUAUUAUUAAAGCAUCAACGAGAUCAUAAGACUCGAUAAUCAAGCAAAAAGAACAUGGGGUUGGGUCUAGGUCCAAACAUAGGCAGGAACUCCUACCUGUAAAUUGCGACUUAUUCCCCUUUGUACCACUCGAUUGCCGCACUGUAUAUUACACCCACAUUUCAACCAACAUUCUUUGAUGAACUUCCUCACCAAAUGACCCUUGCAAGAUCCAACGAUAUCUUCAUUUUUUGACCUUUCCAGUGGACAUUCCUUACAGAAGUACUGGCAGUGUUUUUCAGGAUCACGAUUCAUUGAAAUACACUCUUUAAGGAAUUCCUCCUUGAUGAGUCCAUCACUUGUGUAUGCAAACUCACCGCCAGUUUCAUGUGAACAUGCACAAGGCAAGGAUAAUGAUAGACAAUCACCAGAACAGGUUGAACAACAAUUAUUAUCUCCUAUACGAGCUAGAGAAAAAUUUACAUAUGCAUUUUGGAAAACAGCAUUUUUGGGUAUGUAGAAGAAAGAUGGCGGAGACUUGUCAUUAAAUUCAUUCACCAGGGUAAUUACUACUCUUUCUUGUCCCUUGGCUAUAUCAACAACGUCAUGGAGUGAACUUAUCCUUUCAGGUGUCAAUUGACGCUCCUGGCUAACCACAACAUGCUGGAAGUUUGUGUCUUCAAGAUCAUUCUCUUUAUUUUCUUCAUCUGUUACACAGAAAUUUUCACU
rnacentral:lncRNA from 1 species